CUUGAUCAAUUAUAAGAGGUCAAGCCUGCCCAGUGACAUUGUUCAACGGCCGCGGUAUCCUAACCGUGCGAAGGUAGCGUAAUCACUUGUCCUUUAAAUAAGGACUAGUAUGAACGGCUUCACGAAGGCUAUACUGUCUCCUUAAUCUAAUCAAUUAAACUAAUCUCCCCGUGAAGAAGCGGGGAUUCAUCUAUAAGACGAGAAGACCCUAUGGAGCUUUAAACAUCUAAGACACUUGAUUUUUACCUACUAAACUUCAUGCAACCUAUCCUUUUGUCUUAAGUUUUAGGUUGGGGUGACCACGGAGAAAAAUUAAACCUCCACGUAGAAAGAAAAUUCUUUUCUAAGCAAAAAGCCACAUCUUAACGCAUCAAUAUAUUGACUUAACUUGACCCAAUUUCUUGCUCAACGAAC
rnacentral:rRNA from 1 species